UACGUAGGGCGCAAGUGUUGUCCGGAAUUAUUGGGCGUAAAGAGCUCGUAGGCGGCUUGUCACGUCGGGUGUGAAAGCCCGGGGCUUAACCCCGGGUCUGCAUUCGAUACGGGCUAGCUAGAGUGUGGUAGGGGAGAUCGGAAUUCCUGGUGUAGCGGUGAAAUGCGCAGAUAUCAGGAGGAACACCGGUGGCGAAGGCGGAUCUCUGGGCCAUUACUGACGCUGAGGAGCGAAAGCAUGGGGAGCGAACAGG
rnacentral:rRNA from 1 species